rnacentral:rRNA from 1 species
UACCAGCUCUCCGAGUGGUGUGGAUGUUUAUUGGGCCUAAAGCAUCCGUAGCUGGCUGGGCAAGUCCCCUGUUAAAAUCCACCGAUUUAAUCGUUGGUGUGCGGGGGAUACUGUUCGGCUAGGGGACGGGAGAGGCCGACGGUAUUUUCGGGGUAGGGGUGAAAUCCUAUAAUCCCGGGAAGACCACCAGUGGCGAAGGCUGUCGGCUAGAACGCGCCCGACGGUGAGGGAUGAAAGCUGGGGGGAGCGAACCGGAUUAGAUACCCGGGUAGUCCCAGCUGUAAACGAUGCAGGCUAGGUGUUUGGGCGGCCACGUGCCGCUCUAGUGCCGCAGGGAAGCCAUUAAGCCCGCCGCCUGGGGAGUACGGCCGCAAGGCUAGAAACUUAAAGGAAUUGGCGGGGGAGCACCACAAGGCGUGAAGCUUGCGGUUC